rnacentral:rRNA from 1 species
AACUUUCAACAACGGAUCUCUUGGUUCCGGCAUCGAUGAAGAACGCAGCGAAAUGCGAUACGUAAUGUGAAUUGCAAAUUCAGUGAAUCAUCGAGUCUUUGAACGCACAUUGCGCCCCCUGGUAUU